rfam:Gorilla gorilla gorilla genomic chromosome, chr2A, whole genome shotgun sequence
GCUGGGCGUGGUGGCUCAUGCCUGUAAUCCCAGCACUUUGGGAGGCCGAGGCGGGAGGAUCACCUGAGGUCAGGAGUUCCAGACCAGCCUGGCCAACAUGGUGAAACCCUGUCUCUA